rnacentral:rRNA from 1 species
CAGAUAAGGAGCUUGCUCCUUUGACGAUUAGCGGCGGACGGGUGAGUAACACGUGGGUAACCUACCUAUAACACUGGGAUAACUUCGGGAAACCGGAGCUAAUACCGGAUAACAUUUGGAACCGCAUGGUUCUAAAGUGAAAGAUGGUUUUGCUAUCACUUAUAGAUGGACCCGCGCCGUAUUAUCUAGUUGGUAAGGUAACGGCUUACCAAGGCGACGAUACGUACCCGACCUGAGAGGGUGAUCGGCCACACUGGAACUGAGACACGGCUCCAUACUCCUACGGGAGGCAGCAAAUAUGGAAUCUUCCGCAAUGGGCGAAAGCCUGACGGAGCAACGCCGCGUGAGUGAUGAAGGGUUUCGGCUCGUAAAACUCUGUUAUUAGGGAAGAACAAACGUGUAAGUAACUGUGCAUGUCUUGACGGUACCUAAUCAAAAAGCCACGGCUAACUACGUGCCAGCAGCCGCGGUAAUACUUAGGUGGCAAGCGUUAUCCGGAAUUAUUGGGCGUAAAGCGCGCGUAAGCGGUUUCUUAAGUCUGAUGUGAAAGCCCACGGCUCAACCGUGGAGG